UACAGAGGGGGCAAGCGUUGUUCGGAAUUACUGGGCGUAAAGGGCGCGUAGGCGGCCUGUUAAGUCGAACGUGAAAUCCCCGGGCUCAACCCGGGAACUGCGUCCGAAACUGGCAGGCUCGAAUUCGGGAGAGGGAUGCGGAAUUCCAGGUGUAGCGGUGAAAUGCGCAGAUAUCAGGAGGAACACCGGUGGCGAAGGCGGUUCUCUGGGCAUUACCUGACGCUGAGGAGCGAAAGUGUGGGGAGCGAACAGG
rnacentral:rRNA from 1 species